AUCCCUAUACUGGAAAAGGGACAUCCCCCACCCCUUACUUUGUGGUUUGACAAAAUGGAAGACUUACAACAUCUAGAUGAAUUGACAUUCUUGGCCCAGGGCCCCAUACAGGAUACACAGGAGACAUGACAUGAACUCAUUGGUUGACUGUAGUUUUUGAAGCUGACUUUUGGAGGUUACUGACGUAUGAUUGCCCGACAGGAGACGC